GACGAACGCUGGCGGUAUGCUUAACACAUGCAAGUCGAACGAGACGAGAUGGAAGGAUCCUUCGGGUGACGGAAAAUCUUAGAAAGUGGCGAACGGGUGAGUAACGCGUGGGUAACCUGCCCUAUGGAAAGGAAUAGCCUCGGGAAACUGGGAGUAAUGCCUUAUAAUAUAGUGAAGUCGCAUGGCUUUGCUAUUAAACGCUCCGGUGCCAUAGGAUGGACCCGCGUCCCAUUAGCUAGUUGGUGAGAUAACAGCCCACCAAGGCGACGAUGGGUAACCGGUCUGAGAGGGCGAACGGUCACACUGGAACUGAGACACGGUCCAGACUCCUACGGGAGGCAGCAGUGGGGAAUAUUGCGCAAUGGGGGCAACCCUGACGCAGCAAUACCGCGUGAGUGAAGAAGGUUUUCGGAUCGUAAAGCUCUGUUAUUGGGGAAGAAAAAAAGACGGUACCCAAGAAGAAAGUCCCGGCUAACUACGUG
rnacentral:rRNA from 1 species